AAUCAACGCUGGCGGCAUGCCUAACACAUGCAAGUCGAACGAGAAAGUGGAGCAAUCCAUGAGUACAGUGGCGCACGGGUGAGUAACACGUGACUAACCUACCUUCGAGUGGGGAAUAACCCCGGGAAACCGGGGCUAAGACCGCAUAAUAUCGAGAGAUCAAAUGCGAAAGCAGCUUGAAGAGGGGGUCGCGGUUGAUUAGCUAGUUGGUGAGGUAAUGGCUCACCAAGGCGAUGAUCAAUAGCCGGCCUGAGAGGGCGCACGGCCACACUGGAACUGAAACACGGUCCAGACUCCUACGGGAGGCUG
rnacentral:rRNA from 1 species